rnacentral:lncRNA from 1 species
GAUAAACUUGAAAACAUGCAAGUCUCACAUUCUAUCCUUAUUUUUCAAUUAAUGUAUUUAUAUUUAUACCUUUAAUUCUUUUAUUGUUUUAUUUAUUCUUUCAUUAGUGCUAUAUUAGUCUUAAUUGGUGAGCAAUUAGUAGUGAAUGCUUAAUUGCUUAAUUACUUUAUCCGGGUUUUUAAGAGUUGUCAAUCUCUUAAGGGUUUUCAUAGCUUAAGGUUACAAUUGAUUGGGUUCAUAAAGGUAAUUAGGCUUCAUAUCCUAAUUGGUUCUUGUUUUCCAGUAGGUCUAGCUCUUAUUUUUAUAGCUUAAAGUUAUAAUUGAUUGAGCUAAUGGAGGUAAUUAGGCUUUGUAUCCUAAUUGGUUCUUGUUAUUCCAAUCAAUUAUAGGUCUACCUCUUAUUUCCGCGUGUUUCGCUAUAUCCAUAUUUUAGUUCGUAGUUCGUAUCAUAUUGUAUCGGAGGUUGAGGAUUGUUCUAUUAAUCCUUUGGUUUUUGUUUUGAUUAUCAUCUAAUCUAAAAAUAAAAAAUAAAAGAAAUUCAAAAAUUUCCAAAAUAGCAAGUUUACUGUUCAUCCGUUGUUUGUGACUGCAAUUAGAAAUGUAUUUCCUUGUUCGUUUCCAAAAUAGAAAUUCAAAAAUAUUUGCUCUAUCUCCUUCGAUUUGAUUCUGAACCUUCUGAAUUUCUUCAUUAUCUGAUUUGAAAUUACUGAAUUGAGCUUGGAUUCGAAGUUUGGGUUUGAGAUUGGUGAACCCGACGUGAAACGGACGAAUCGAAAAAUUGGGGUUGUGCUCUAGAUCCAAAAUUUCGAGUUCGAAAUCGAUUGGGCGUGUUCUAAUCUUGUUGGUAAAGCUCGAUUGAGGUUUAAUCUGAAGCUUGGGUUCGUUUGUGACUGAAUUCGAACUGGUGCUAGGUCAAAUCUGCGGAGUCGACUCGAAGAAGAAGAAGACCUAGGGUUCGUCGAUUUCGUGUGCCUUGGAACAAAUUGAAAACUAGGGUUUGCUCGGAUUACUGAGAGGAGUUUGUGGUUACCAUUUGAGUUCAAUUCGAAGAAGUUUAGGUUGAGUUUGGGUUGGCAACCUGAAGUUCAAUCGAAGAACUACCUGCAAAUCUUUGGGCGCCGUUCAAUUUUUUCUUCGAGUGUUGAUUGCUGAAAUCUAACUGUUACGUAGCCUAUGCACUCCUCGACGCAUCAGGUUUGGUUCUUUUGAGCUUAACAGCUUGUUUGGAGGGUUGUUACCUAUUGUAUUGUAUAGUAUUGUUACUUUAAAUACGAUGUUUGUUUUGAUUGUUACUUGAAUUUUAUUGUAUCGUAUCGUUAAAUCCGUGUUACGUAACGACGAAAUGUGCCACUAUAUAUAACGACCGAUUUGGUGUGGUCGCGUCGUUACCUUAUUUUUUUCUCUCAAUCUCACCCUUUAUUAUUAUUAAAUAAUUUUAUUUUAUCAUUUACCCUACCUUUUUAUAUACCAUAUCAUAAUUUUUUUAAUUAUAUUGCAAGUUUAUUAUUCAUAUCGCUGGUGUGUGAUAUCAUAAAACGACGGCAAACGACACAAUCUAUCCAAACAUUGUAUUCAUCAAACGAUACAGUACAAUACAAUAAAAUACGAUACGAUACAUUAUGAAACGAUAUGUAACAACCAUCCAAACAAGCUGUAAACUAGUUGUUUUCUGGAAGUUUUAAGGGAAAUUUUAGUCUGUUCUUCUAAAUUGAGAAUAGAAGUUCAUCAUUGAGUUCUGGAAUUUAAAGACAGCUUCUAAUUCUGCUGGAGUCCUAAGCCGUUACGUGUUACUGAUUGAGAAUUGAGUUUCAACUGAACAUCGACUAGAUCGUCUGAGUUAAUUGAAUUGAAUAAUUGAAGUCGACUUGCGUCGCUUAUUGCUUGAAUGAACUGAUUGGUUAAUUAGUAGCUACUGAAGGUUGAAAGCAUGUUUGGGUGAAUUCCUUUGAGACUUUGAGUUGAUCUUUCUGAGUGUGAAUUCAGAAGUCGACUCGAGGUUCUUGUUGGUUUGCACUGUUCCUCUUAUCUUGCAUCAGUUGGAUUGACAACUUGUGAGCCUUGUAAUGCUAUUCUCAUAGUUGUUGAGAGCUUGCAGUUUGGUUUUAUAUUUGUGUUUGCUUCUGAAGUUUGUGAUAAAAUUCUUUGAGGUUGGACUGUUUUAAGGUGCAUUUUUCUGUCACAAGUUCAGCUAAAGGUAUUUGACAGCAAAAUUCUGCACUGUUUUGAGCUAUCUUUGGAGAUGUGCUGCUGCUGAAGAGUGCGGAAUUGUCUCAAUGGUUUGGGCAUCAGUAUUUUGAUAGCCAGUUUCUGCCCAGAAUUUUAUCCAGAAAGUUGAACAGCAACUUCUUGCGAUUGCAGCAACAAACAGUUGAAAUUUAGGUUGUUUCUGAUCAGUUUUCUGCAGCAACUUUGGCAGCAAAUCUGCACAGUUGAGCUCUCAAGUUAGCUGUUGUUUGGUUAAGUGUUCUGCACAACUGAGCCACAAAAUUUCUGUGCUGUUUGUUCCUCUGUUAUUUGCUGAAAAUCUGCAGAAUUUUGGACUGUUGAACCUCAUAAGUUGCACCAUUUCUGCACAAGUGUUGCACCAGUUAGUUCCCAUGUAGUUGCAGUUUGGAACAACAUCCGAGGACUGAAAAUUUUGCACUGAAGUGUGAAAUUUCUGUUGCACUUUUGCACCAGCUGUGUACCUGUUCUUCUCAGUAUUUGGCACCAGCUGAGCAGCUGAAAUUUUGCAGCUUUGGCCAGCAUCUGAGCUGGGAAAUCAGUAGGUUUUUGGAACUGUUUCUUAAGCUAGAAAGGAGCUGAAUUGAAUUAGGUUCUGAGCCAGAUUGGAGCUGCUGAAAUCUACUUUGUUUAACAUCCAAACUGCAGUUCUUUUGAAUAAGUUUUGUCCAGUGAUUGCACAGCUAAUAUCCCGCACUUCUCGAGCAUAAAUUCUGCAUAGUUGAAGCUUUUCUACAGGCUGCAUAGUCCAAAAUUUCUGCAGAUAAUUUUUGCACAGUUCCCCUGCAAUUUUGGACUGUUUUCUGCAGAUUGUAAGUCUUCAUAGCUUGAGCAGAACCUUCAGAACUACUGCUCCUGAUCAGUUGUUUAGCAGCAAUUGAAUAGCAAAUCUGCACCAGCUUGUUCCAGUUUGAGAAUACUGCACUGCUUCUGCAUUUAUUUUCCACAACUGUUUGAACUGAUUCUGCCCAGUUUUACUGAAUCUGCACAUGCUUAAUGACUGCCAGUGGCACCAGAGGUUUUGCACCAGCUACUGCACAAUUUAAGGCCUGCACAGUUUGGGAAAUUUGCUGAGUUUGGGGUCUGGCCGUAGAACAAUUUUUCCAGCAUUUUGACAGAAGUUCAGAAAUUUUUCAGUCCAGUUUUCUUUUCUUCCAACUGUUAAUCUUUUUCUUCUUGUUUGUUAAUUCUAAACUAGUGUAAACUUGAUAUUAGUUCAUAUUAAGUUUUAACCUAGUUCUUUGUGUGCUUAAUUUAGUUUCGUGCCAAUUGUUUCGUGCUUUUAUCUUCUAAUUUCGUUGUGAAUUGCUUGGUUCAAGUCCGUUUGCUUUUAAUUGUCCGUCCUUGUGAAUACACAACUUCCACUCCACCCCGAAGACUGUUGGAACUUGUUGUGAAACCUUGGGAUUUAAGUUUGCAAGCAAUUUUGACAUUCACUACUUGACCGGAAAAAGGCAAGAGCGACUAGGACUUUGAGCACGCAAAAAGCCAAUUGGUGCAAAGUGUGAUACACGACGGUUGAGCAACAUCGAGUGAGCUUGGUGAGGACUUUACUACUAAUUUGUUUGCUCGUUUUGUAGGUAUCAUGGAGUACAAACAAACUUCUAGUCCUAAUUGUAAUCCAAGGAGU